rnacentral:sRNA from 1 species
GCUCUUGCUUGCUUGCACUGAUGAAGUAAGCUGCCACGUUGUGAGAUGCUCUACGAAGAGGCCCAUGAGGCAGGGCACCGAGGGAGGCUUCUGGCCAACAGCUCCUGGGGAACUAAGGCCUUAGGAAGCGAGUCCUGCCAACAAUAACCAGAGCCUUGAACUUUGGAACCACAGUGCCUUGUUCCAGCGCGGAAAGCAGCGUGGCACUUCCCUGUGGUGAAAGCACCCCAGCUUGAAAGGGUAAAAACACCUUCUCCCAGAUAGUCUCCCUUUGUUUAGCCAGUGCUUUUUGCCAGUGGUCACCUUAAGGAAAUCAAACGAAGAUUUGAGGCUUAAGCAACUUCUUCCGGGGAAAAGUGCCAGUGCAGCCGCUGUUGCAAUUCAAGAUCUUGAUCUAUAUCCAUAGAUUGGAAUAUUGGUGGGCCAGCAAUCCUCAGACACCUCACUUAGGACAGAUGAGGAAACUGAGGCUUGGUGAAGUUACGAAACUUGUCCAAAAUCACACAACUUGUAAAGGGCACAGCCAAGAUUCAGAGCCAG